rnacentral:tRNA from 1 species
AUUUUAUUAGUAUAAAAAGUAUGAUUGUCUUCCAAACAAUUGGUUUAAAUUAAAUUAAAUAAAGUA